GAUGAACGCUGGCGACGUGCCUAAUACAUGCAAGUAGAACGCUGAAGCUUGGUGCUUGCACCGAGCGGAUGAGUUGCGAACGGGUGAGUAACGCGUAGGUAACCUGCCUCUUAGCGGGGGAUAACUAUUGGAAACGAUAGCUAAUACCGCAUAAAAGUCGAUAUCGCAUGAUAUUGAUUUGAAAGGUGCAAUUGCAUCACUAAGAGAUGGACCUGCGUUGUAUUAGCUAGUUGGAGAGGUAACGGCUCACCAAGGCGACGAUACAUAGCCGACCUGAGAGGGUGAUCGGCCACACUGGGACUGAGACACGGCCCAGACUCCUACGGGAGGCAGCAGUAGGGAAUCUUCGGCAAUGGGGGCAACCCUGACCGAGCAACGCCGCGUGAGUGAAGAAGGUUUUCGGAUCGUAAAGCUCUGUUGUAAGAGAAGAACGAGUGUGAGAGUGGAAAGUUCACACUGUGACGGUAACUUACCAGAAAGGGACGGCUAACUACGUG
rnacentral:rRNA from 1 species